UCGACAUCCCCGCGCCCCGAUCCCCAAAUCCCUCAAACCCUAGCUCGCCGGAGAGCGCCGAUUCGUCGCGGCCGCCGUGUGAUGCGUCCGGAGCCUCCGUGCUGAGCGACCCUUCGGUUUGUUUUCGAUGGCCGCGCAGCCCCCGCCGGCGCCUCCCGCCGUUGAGGCUCGCUUCGCGGAUCUCUGCAAGGAGCUGGGAGUGGGCGAGGGCGUCGCCGGCGAGGCCGCGGCGCUGCUGGAUGAGGCGAAGGGCGCGCUCCUCGGGACGCCUUCUGUUGGAGGCAGAUUGGCUAAGGAUGCGGAGAGGCUGUGCUUCGCAUUCGUGCUGUACUGCGCGGUGAAGCUGAAGGGGCGGAAGGAGGGCUCUAGGAUAAGGCUGUGUGAGAUCUUGAAGGGCUGUAAGCUCAAGUAUGACGAUUUCUUCAAGGAAAUGCAGCAGAUUAGUCUGAAGAUUGAGAAGAUCUUAGAGAGUCGUUAUGGCCGGGACUGGGAGGGUCAUCUUGAGCUAAAGCAGUUGGAGAGUUUGGUAAAUCUGCUGGCCGAUGCAAGCAGGUUUUAUCGUAAGGCAUAUAAUGAACUGUUCUCAAGUUCAACUACUGAUCAGGAACCUGGUUCAGCAACAAACACUCCUGACUAUUUUCUUUUCGGGUGGAAUCUCUUCUUAAUGCUUCGCUCGAGAUCACAGGAAUUGUUUAAGGACCUAGUAUCCUGCAUCCAUGGAUUGGUUGCUGUAUUGGCCAUACUUUUGAUUCAUGUGCCUGCCAAAUUUAGGAGCUUUACAAUUGAAGGCUCUUCUCACUUAAUCAAACAAAGUGAGAAAGGUGCAGAUAUUAUUGCUUCAUUAUGUCAUAACUAUCAUACUUCUGAAGAACGCUUGAAAGAAAUGAUGGACAAAUCUCACAGGGCAAUAGAGGACUUCUUCGGUGUGAAAGCACUAAGUGCUUCAAAGUGCAAAACAGAAAAUUUGGAUAAAAUAGACACAGAUGGUCUGAUGUGUUUCAAUGGUCUCAUUGAUGAGGAGAGUUUCCAGCUAAAUUUGGAAAAAUUGGAGAAACUAUGUGAUUCCAAUAGCUGGGAAUGGGAGCUUGAUUUGAAAUUAUUUUUGUGCAAUGACUACAUUCCCUCUGCUGAGAAAUCAUCUGGGGGCUCCACUAAUUUAGGAUGUUCAAAGCGUGCCUUUGAAACAUUAGCAUCACCCACAAAGACAAUAAAAAACAUGUUGACUGUCCCUUGUUCGCCUCCAUCACCUGUCAAUGGUGGUUCAGUCAAGAUUGUGCAAAUGACACCAGUAACUUCUGCCAUGACAACAGCUAAGUGGCUUCGCGAGGUCAUAUCUUCAUUGCCAGAUAAACCUUCAUCUAAGCUUCAGCAGUUGCUGUCAUCAUGUGAUAGGGAUUUGACAAAUGAUGUGACAAAAAGGGUCAGCAUAGUUUUGGAAGCAAUUUUCCCGACAAAGUCUGCUGCAGAUCGGGGUGGUUCGAUAGGCCUCAAUUGUGCAAAUGCAUUUGAUGUCCCUUGGGCAGAAGCAAGAAAAAUGGAAGCCUCCAAGUUGUACUAUAGGGUAUUGGAGGCAAUCUGCAGAGCUGAGUCACAGAACAGUAGUGUAAAUAAUCUAACUCCAUUGCUGUCAAACGAGCGUUUUCACCGAUGUUUGAUUGCAUGUUCAGCUGAGCUAGUAUUGGCAACACAUAAGACAGUAAUCAUGAUGUUUCCUGCUGUUCUGGAGAGUACUGGUCUAACUGCAUUUGAUUUGAGCAAAAUAAUCGAGAACUUUGUGAGACAUGAAGAGACCCUUCCAAGAGAAUUGAAAAGACACUUAAAUUCUUUAGAAGAACAACUUUUGGAAAGCAUGGCCUGGGAGAAAGGUUCAUCAUUGUAUAACUCACUGAUUGUUGCCAGGCCAUCUCUUGCUUCAGAAAUAAACCGUCUUGGUCUUUUGGCUGAACCAAUGCCAUCUCUUGACGAGUUAGUGGAAAGGCAAAAUGUUCUUGUCGAGGGCUUACCAGCUACACCAUCUAAGAAACGUGCUGCUGCGCCAGAUGACAACACUGAUCCUCGAUCGCCAAAGAGACUGUGCAAUGAAUCCAGGAACACAGUAGUAGAGCGCAAUUUGCAGACGCCACCACCCAAGCAAAGCCACAUCGUAUCGGCUAACUUGAAAGCAAAAUGCCAUCCACUCCAGUCCACGUUUGCAAGUCCAACUGUAAGUAACCCUGUUGGUGGGAAUGACAAAUGUGCUGACAUAACGGUUCAGAUAUUCUUUUCUAAAAUUCUGAAGUUGGCUGCUAUUAGAAUAAGGAACUUGUGUGAAAGGAUCCAAUAUGUGGAACAGACAGAGCGUGUCUAUAAUGUGUUCAAGCAGAUCCUUGAUCAACAGGCAGCAUUGUUUUUUAAUCGACACAUUGAUCAAAUUAUUCUUUGCUGCCUUUAUGGUGUUGCAAAGGUUUGUCAAUUAGAACUGUCAUUCAGGGAGAUACUCAACAAUUACAAGAGCGAGCCACAAUGCAAACCAGAAGUUUUUCUGAGUAUCUAUGUUGGGACUAGGAAUCGCAAUGGGUCUUUCCUAUCAACAGAUACUAGGAUCACACCAUGUUGAUAUCAUUACUUUUUACAAUGAGGUGUUUGUUCCAGCAGCCAAGCCUUUCCUGGUGUCAUUAAUCGCUUCUGGUACUCGUCCAGAAGACAAGAAGAAUCCUAAUAGUCAAAUUUCUGGAUCACCCAAGCCAUCUCCUUUCCCAAAUUUACCGGACAUGUCCCCCAAGAAAGUUUCUUCUUCUCAUAAUGUUUAUGUGUCUCCUUUGCGGCAAACCAAGAAGGAUCUGCUGCUUUCACCAAGUUCCAGGAGUUUUUAUGCAUGCAUUGGUGAAGGCACCCAUGCUUAUCAGAGCCCAUCGAAAGAUUUAGCUGCUAUAAAUAGCCGCCUAAACUAUAAUGGCCGGAGAAUAAACACUCGAAUAAACUUCGACAUGGUGAGCGACUCAGUGUUAGCUGGUAGUCUGGGCCAGACAAAUGGUGGUUCUACCUCCUUGGAUCCUGCAGCUGCAUUUAGCCUCCCAUCAAAGAAGAGAAAACCAGAUACUUGAUCAAAUAAAAUGUCAACCUCUGUACAUAGCUCACAAUUCCACAGAAGGAUUUCUUCUGAAUAAGUGGGUUAAGUGGAGUGCUUUAACUGUACAUGUAUGUGUUAGUGAGUAGUAGCAGUUUACAUGCAGCAGACUUUCUGAUUAGCUUUGAGGUUGUAUCAUUGUUUGCCUGCUGAUUGAACGCAUUAGAUUGUAACAUCUGCAGUGUAGAAUGCUAAUGAAGCUUACAGUUUUCAGUGAAUUGACCCGCAUUUCAUGUACCAAAUCUCUAUCCUUGCUCUUGCAAGGUUUUGGUCAGGGGUAUAUUUGGUUCAGAUAUUACUGCA